GAUGAACGCUGGCGGCGUGCCUAAUACAUGCAAGUAGAACGCUGAAGGAGGAGCUUGCUCUUCUGGAUGAGUUGCGAACGGGUGAGUAACGCGUAGGUAACCUGCCUGGUAGCGGGGGAUAACUAUUGGAAACGAUAGCUAAUACCGCAUGACAACAGUUAUUGCAUGAUAACUGUUUAAAAGGGGCAACUGCUCCACUACCAGAUGGACCUGCGUUGUAUUAGCUAGUUGGUGAGGUAACGGCUCACCAAGGCGACGAUACAUAGCCACCUGGGAGGGGAACCGGCCCCACGGGAACUGGGACACGGCCAAGACUCUACGGGAGGCAGCAGUAGGGAAUCUUCGGCAAUGGACGGAAGUCUGACCGAGCAACGCCGCGUGAGUGAAGAAGGUUUUCGGAUCGUAAAGCUCUGUUGUAAGAGAAGAACGAGUGUGAGAGUGGAAAGUUCACACUGUGACGGUAUCUUACCAGAAAGGGACGGCUAACUACGUG
rnacentral:rRNA from 1 species